GACGUAGGGCGCGAGCGUUGUCCGGAUUUAUUGGGCGUAAAGAGCUCGUAGGCGGCUCAUUGCGUCAACCGUGAAAACCAGCAGCUCAACUGUUGGCUUGCGGUUGAUACGGGUGGGCUGGAGUUCGGUAGGGGAGACUGGAAUUCCUGGUGUAGCGGUGAAAUGCGCAGAUAUCAGGAGGAACACCGGUGGCGAAGGCGGGUCUCUGGGCCGAUACUGACGCUGAGGCGCGAAAGCUAGGGGAGCAAACGGG
rnacentral:rRNA from 1 species